AUGGAAUAUAGAAGCUGUUAGAGGAAGUGACUUUGUUAUUACUAGAGUUGUAUUUCGAGACAACUCUUCAAAGUACUACAUAAAUGACUGUGGAAGUAAUUUUACAGAGGUCACUAAGAAAUUGAAAGGAAAAGAAGUGGACUUGGACAACAAUCGGUUUUUGAUUCUUCAGGGUGAAGUCGAGCAAAUUUCUCUAAUGAAGUCAAAGAUUUGUAUUUUCAGCAUUAUUGUAAUUGUAAUUGUAAUUGAUUGAAUGAAGGAUUGUAACUGAAUGAAUGAAUGAUUGUAAUUGAUUGUAAUGGAAUGAAUGAAUGAUUAUG